UACAGAGGUCUCAAGCGUUGUUCGGAUUCAUUGGGCGUAAAGGGUGCGUAGGUGGUGAUGCAAGUCUGGUGUGAAAUCUCGGAGCUCAACUCCGAAAUUGCACCGGAUACUGCGUGACUCGAGGACUGUAGAGGAGAUCGGAAUUCACGGUGUAGCAGUGAAAUGCGUAGAUAUCGUGAGGAAGACCAGUUGCGAAGGCGGAUCUCUGGGCAGUUCCUGACACUGAGACACGAAGGCCAGGGGAGCAAACGGG
rnacentral:rRNA from 1 species